rnacentral:rRNA from 1 species
AGCCAUGCAUGUUUAUGUAAUAAGGACGAAUAGCUCAGUAGAACUGCGAUUAUUUAGUCUGUCUGUAUAGGAUAACUACGUGAAAAUGUAGCUAAGAGGGGACAGAAUAAGACGUAGGACUAUCAGUUAGUUGGUAGUGUAAUGGACUACCAAGACGAUGACGGUUAACGGGGAAUUAGGGUUUUAUACCGGAGAGGGAGCCUGAGAGAUUGCUCCCACGUCCAUGGACGGCAGCAGGCGCGAAAAUUGCCCACUCUUUGCAGGAGGCAGUUAUGAGACGUGAAGAGGAAUGUUUGGUAAAGAGAAACAGGAGAAUUGGAGGGCAAGUUUGGUGCCAGCAGCCGCGGUAAUACCGACUCCAAGAGUGUGUAUGAGAGAUGCUGCAGUUAAAAAGUCCGUAGUCUUAGAAGUGUAAAUUGGGGCGCUUGUGCCAGAUAGAUAUGAUGGAGGAGCCAAUGGGGAACAUAGUAUACCAGGGCGAGAGAUGAAAUGCCUAGACCCCUGGUGGACUGAGCGAGGCGAAAGCGAUGUUCUUGUGGGUGUUUGAUGAUCAAGGACGAAGGCUGGAGGAUCGAAAGUGAUUAGAUACCGCAGUAGUUCCAGCAGUAAAAGAUGCCGACAU